GACGAACGCUGGCGGUGUGCUUAACACAUGCAAGUCGAACGGAAAGGCCCUGCUUUUGUGGGGUGCUCGAGUGGCGAACGGGUGAGUAACACGUGAGUAACCUGCCCUUGACUUUGGGAUAACUUCAGGAAACUGGGGCUAAUACCGGAUAGGAGCUCCUGCUGCAUGGUGGGGGUUGGAAAGUUUCGGCGGUUGGGGAUGGACUCGCGGCUUAUCAGCUUGUUGGUGGGGUAGUGGCUUACCAAGGCUUUGACGGGUAGCCGGCCUGAGAGGGUGACCGGCGACAUUGCGACUGAGGUACGGCGCAGACUCCUACGGGAGGCAGCAGUGGGGAAUAUUGCACAAUGAGCGGAAGCCUGAUGCAGCAACGCCGCGUGCGGGAUGACGGCCUUCGGGUUGUAAACCGCUUUCGCCUGUGACGAAGCGUGAGUGACGGUAAUGGGUAAAGAAGCACCGGCUAACUACGUG
rnacentral:rRNA from 1 species